UACAGAGGGUGCAAGCGUUGUUCGGAAUUACUGGGCGUAAAGCGCGUGUAGGUGGCGACGUAAGUCGGGUGUGAAAUCCCUUGGCUCAACCAAGGAAGUGCAUUCGAUACUGUGUCGCUUGAGUACUGGAGGGGAUGGCGGAAUUCCCGGUGUAGAGGUGAAAUUCGUAGAUAUCGGGAGGAACACCUAUGGCGAAGGCAGCUCGCUGGGACGUUACUGACGCUGAGACGCGAAAGCGUGGGGAGCAAACAGG
rnacentral:rRNA from 1 species